GAUGAACGCUGGCGGCGUGCCUAAUACAUGCAAGUCGAGCGAACGGACGAGAAGCUUGCUUUUCUGAUGUUAGCGGCGGACGGGUGAGUAACACGUGGAUAACCUACCUAUAAGACUGGGAUAACUUCGGGAAACCGGAGCUAAUAUCGGAUAAUAUUUUGAACCGCAUGGUUCAAAAGUGAAAGACGGUCUUGCUGUCACUUAUAGAUGGAUCCGCGCUGCAUUAGCUAGUUGGUAAGGUAACGGCUUACCAAGGCAACGAUGCAUAGCCGACCUGAGAGGGUGAUCGGCCACACUGGAACUGAGACACGGUCCAGACUCCUACGGGAGGCAGCAGUAGGGAAUCUUCCGCAAUGGGCGAAAGCCUGACGGAGCAACGCCGCGUGAGUGAUGAAGGUCUUCGGAUCGUAAAACUCUGUUAUUAGGGAAGAACAUAUGUGUAAGUAACUGGGCACAUCUUGACGGUACCUAAUCAGAAAGCCACGGCUAACUACGUG
rnacentral:rRNA from 1 species